CCUUGCCCUGGAGUCAGCUAAUCACUUGGGGGUAGGGGCAUGUGCACGUGUUUUACUCCGACUGUUUGCAACUUUUGAAAUAGGGUCAAUCUGGCUUUGGCAUUUUAAAACCAUUUCAAACAGGUGGGGGUUGGGGAGGCUCACACACUCACCCUCGCGCUCACACUCACGCACACACGCACGCACUCACGCCGGCCUAAGCCUCCUCACCGCCCUCGGCCAGUGGCUGGCCACACUGUCGGUCACUCUGCCGGGCUUGUCCACCCCCGCCCCCACCCCCCGCGGUACUUCCCCCUAGUGCCCCGGAGCCGGACCGGACCUGGAGGCGCGCGCCUGCUCCUUGCCUGCCUGCGCCCACCGGUUCGGGUCCUGGAGCUGGGACUGCCAGUGUCUCUGUGACUCUGGGUCCUCUGGCCCCCUACCUGGGAUCCCUGUGAACUUUGGGAUACCCUUAAGCUUCGGAGCCAACUUUUUAGGACACAGGGAAAACUAUAGGCAAGGGAAAGAAGCCAAAUGGCUAGAGGGGGUUCAAGUCUUCAACCUAAAAGGGACCUAGCCUUUUAACUGUCUUUCCAGCAAAGAUUUCUGGAGCCAGUCAUAUGUCCCAGGCUCAAGUUCCUGACUGGAGCCGAGAAUCUUCGGACCCGCCCCGGGACCAGGAGAUUAGGAUCACCCACUGUUCUGCAAUCUGCACCCGCGCCCAGGCGCCCGCGGGGGCGGGGGCUAGGCAGCCACCUCUCGGAAUUCACAGCCCGGGGAUCGGUGCCGCCCUGGGGUGCGAGCCGAGCGAGUGUCUCUCCCUGCUAGGUUUCGGAAUGAGCUCGGGCGCUGCGGACAGAAAGAAUACCCUGGGCCGGGAAGGCUGCCCUCCCCAAAUAGCCCCCAAAUCGAGAGUCUCCUGAGCAAUCUCUUUUCCUCAGUGAUUUAUAACAUGUAUGUUCAUCAGUGGUCACAGAAGAGAUUCCAAGUGCUAAACAAGGGAGGGAGGGGGAGAGACUCGGAAAGGAUGGGAUGCCGCUGGGGUCGGGGGUUGAGAGCCCAGCUAUGCUGUAGGUUCCAGCUGGUCCGAUCUCUGUGUGACCUUGAGCAAGCUCCUUGACCCAUCAGAGCCUUCCUCUCUCCCCUGCUAAUAGUCUGAUUGCCUGCCAAGAAUCUCCCACCUACCUGGAAUCCGUGACUCUCUACCUCCCACCUGGAGCCAUCUAAAGGAUGAGGCCAAGUGCUUCACAGGUUCUCCCACGACAGCAGUACCAUCUUCCUUCUCCACGAUGCCAAGUGUCCCUGCUGCUGAGAAGGGGAAAGGACCAGGAAUUUAGCAUCCUUCAGAUUUCAGAUGUGGAAUAACCCCCAGAAAAGAAGGGAUACAUGAGGGUACAGAGGGCAGAAUGGAGAGAGGUAUAGAGAGACACAUUAUAAACCCAGGAACAUAAAAGAGAUAACUCGGACCUCCAAAGCAGCUAAAACCACCAAUUUCCAGGUACUAAGUUUAUGAUGUUCCCAAACUUUCUGCUCCUCCUCUGACCCUUUCUAUCUCCACUGUUAUGCCCAGUCCAGUUCCUGUGGCCCAGUCUAGAAGCAGGGCAGAAAUCAUAUCUAUCCUAUCCAAACUUUGAGUUCUCAGCACCUAAACCCAUGCCUUGCUUGGAAUGUGCCCCAUACACACUUGUUGAAUGAGUAUGUGAAUGCACGGAUCAAGUAUGACAUUAAACUGGGGUGCCUGGCUGGCUUAGUCAGUAUAGAACAUAUGACUCUUGAUCUCAGGGUUGUGGGUUCGAGCCCCACGUUGGGUGUAGAGAUUACUUUUUAAAAAGUGUAACAUUAAACUAUAAGUAUGUGACCUUUGACACAAAAUCCAUUUAGAUUUGGUGACUAGAAUUAAGGUAUUUAUAGAUGGCGCACUUUUUUUAAGAUUUUUUUUAUUUAUUUGAGAGAGAGAGAAUGAGAGAGAGCACAUGAGAGGGGGGAGGGUCAGAGGGAGAAACAGACUCCCUGCAGAGCAGGGAGCCCGAUGUGGGACUCGAUCCAGGGACUCCAGGAUCAUGACCUGAGCCGAAGGCAGUCACUUAACCAACUGAGCCACCCAGGCGCUCUAUAGAUGGCUUUCUUGAAAGUAGAUUUUUCUUGAACAGAGGUAAAAUGGGAUCUGAGUGUUUUGGCUUCUUUCACUUCUGCUAUGACUUUGGCAAUAUAUUCCAAUGGAGAAAAUAAUACCACAAAAUAUCUAACUUUGAGACUUAACGUAUGUGCCAGGAUCAUUCUGUGAUUUAAUCAUCACAACAACUGUGCGAGGUAGGUAUGA